GAUGAACGCUGGCGGUGUGCCUAAUACAUGCAAGUCGAGCGAAUGACGAGGAGCUUGCUCCUCUGAUUUAGCGGCGGACGGGUGAGUAACACGUGGGUAACCUGCCUGUAAGACGGGGAUAACUCCGGGAAACCGGAGCUAAUACCGGAUGAUAACGAGAAGCGCCUGCUUCUUUUUUGAAAGUCGGUUUCGGCUGACGCUUACAGAUGGGCCCGCGGCGCAUUAGCUAGUUGGUGAGGUAACGGCUCACCAAGGCGACGAUGCGUAGCCGACCUGAGAGGGUGAACGGCCACACUGGGACUGAGACACGGCCCAGACGCCUACGGGAGGCAGCAGUAGGGAAUCUUCGGCAAUGGACGAAAGUCUGACCGAGCAACGCCGCGUGAGCGAUGAAGGCCUUCGGGUCGUAAAGCUCUGUUGUCAGAGAAGAACAAGUACCGGAGUAACUGCCGGUACCUUGACGGUACCUGACCAGAAAGCCACGGCUAACUACGUGCCAGCAGCCGCGGUAAAAC
rnacentral:rRNA from 1 species